rnacentral:rRNA from 1 species
UACGGAGGUGGCAAGCGUUGCUCGGAAUCACUGGGCGUAAAGGGCGCGUAGGCGGGGAGGUAAGUCGGGUGUGAAAUCCCUCGGCCCAACCGAGGAACUGCGCCCGAGACUGCUUCUCUUGAGUCCCGGAGAGGAAGAUGGAAUUCCCGGUGUAGCGUUGAAAUGUGUAGAGAUCGGGAGGAACACCGGUGGCGAAGGCGGUCUUCUGGACGGUGACUGACGCUGAGGCGCGAAAGCGUGGGGAGCAAACGGG